UGAAGAAGCCUCAGCGAGAGUGAGGAAACUGCAGCGGGAGAAGACUAAUGCCUUUAGGAGAGAAAAUAGGGCCAAGAACAACAUGCAGGCUCUUCUGGAGAAACUGAAGGAGAAAAAUCUCAUCAACUAAGAGCUGAAAGACGAGCUUGAAUGCUACUCAGAUCUUCCGGUUCAUCUCCUGUCGAGGCAGGGCGUAGAGUACACCAAGGCCCAGAGAGAUUUUGCCCUUACGCUCCAUCUGCAUGGUCCAAAGGCAUAUCACUACCUGAGAGAUACUCUGCAUAUUCACCUGCCACAUCCCAGUUCAUUACAAAGGUGGCUGAGCUCUCUUGAUGCCAGACCUGGUCUCAAUAAAAUGAUGUUGGACAUGCUGGAAAGACGGCGUCAGGAAGAUGAGGUCAAAUACGGAUGUGUCACUCUGAUGCUGGAUGCCAUUUCCAUCAAAAAACACG